CACGAGGUGGGCGGGGCGCCGCCCUUUGCCAGUGGGGAGGCUGGCGGGUCGGUCUGGAUGGGGCUGGCGGUGUGUCAGGCUCCCAGUGACGUGCAGGCCGAGCGAGCGCGACGUGUGGACGCGAGUGUGGCAGAAUCUGUGAACACGCGCGGCGUGCAUCGUGUCCUCAGUGUCUGUCACUAUAAUCCUCAUUCAGCUGAGAGAGCCCAACAGCAACAAUGCCCCAGCAGCAAAGCACACAUGGAACACCAGAUCCUGGGUUCUAAUCCCAUCUCCAGUAGAACGGCCAGGGCUCCUUGGAGAAAUGACUGAUCCUAGGACCGGGGCAGAAAAUAUACAAGCUGAGCCUGGACCAACUCGUAGUGCCAGAAAGCAAGACACGGAAUUAGAGUGUAAAAACCUGCUCCGGGAAGACAUACGUCAACUUCAAGAGACAGGAACAGACCACACCCAUGCUGCCACAUGCCUCCUUCAUCC